rnacentral:rRNA from 1 species
UGGGGAAUUUUGGACAAUGGGCGAAAGCCUGAUCCAGCAAUGCCGCGUGUGUGAAGAAGGCCUUCGGGUUGUAAAGCACUUUUGUCCGGAAAGAAAUCCUUGGCUCUAAUACAGUCGGGGGAUGACGGUACCGGAAGAAUAAGCACCGGCUAACUACGUGCCAGCAGCCGCGGUAAUACGUAGGGUGCAAGCGUUAAUCGGAAUUCUGGGCGUAAAGCGUGCGCAGGCGGUUUGCUAAGACCGAUGUGAAAUCCCCGGGCUCAAACCUGGGGAACUGCAUUGGUGACUGGCAGGCUAGAGUAUGGCAGAGGGGGGUAGAAUUCCACGGUGUAGCAGUGAAAUGCGUAGAGAUGUGGAGGAAUACCGAUGGCGAAGGCAGCCCCCUGGGCCAAUACUGACGCUCAUGCACGAAAGCGUGGGGGAGCAAAACAGGAUUAGAUACCCUGGUAGUCCACGCCCUAAACGAUGUCAACUAGUUGUUGGGGAUUCAUUUCCUUAGUAACGUAGCUAACGCGUGAAGUUGACCGCCUGGGGAGUACGGUCGCAAGAUUAAAACUUAAAUGAAUUGACGGGGUCAUAGCUGUUUCCU